rnacentral:lncRNA from 1 species
CGUUCAUAUAUAUAUAAGUAUACGAGCGAGGAAUUCUGUAGAAGAACUAGCAAAAGCUGGGCAAUUAACAAAUGCGCUGUGAGAAUAGGGCAUAGAGAGACGUGCUGUGCUUGGUUUUUGAUAACGUUAACGGAAAAUCCUCCACCCGUCUUCGUUGCUUUGACCGCACUGUACAUAGGAACUACUGUUUUAUCAAGCGACAUUUUGGUGCUCGAUCGGAAAGGCCGUAACAAUAUUUCAAUGCCUUCCGGUCCCAACUUAACGUCCUCCUGCACGGAGCGUGUUUCGUCACAGAACGAACCAAGCCGAGCAGUUACGCGGAGACUUUUCGCCGUUAAAACAAUGCUGCCUGGAAUUUAUUUCCUUUUUUUGCUCUCUACGGUCGCCAGGGUACAUAUUGAGAGAGAGAGAAGUGAGCUGCGAUCUACACCGCUCACAUGUACACGUAUAAUUUACUCAAUAAAGUAUCGUGUACAAAAGAAAAGCUAGAAAAAAAAAAAGUUGCAUACAAGAAGCAAGCUCCAUGUUGGCCUGGAUUCGAACCCAGGUUACCUGCCGGCGACUAUACUCUACCAUUGAACCAGUGACUCAGAUACAGAUGCUAUGGAGUUACACAUUGUUUUGUGCUCAGUAACAUUGCCCCACAUACGCAUUUCUGCAGCGACUUUGUUUCUAUGGAAAAGUUAUAUGUAAUAAAUGCAUUCUUAAUUGUUGCCUCUUCA